rnacentral:rRNA from 1 species
CGAACGCUGGCGGCGUGCUUAACACAUGCAAGUCGAACGGAGUUACAGGCGGAAGCCUUCGGGUGGAAGGCUGUAAACUGAGUGGCGGACGGGUGAGUAACGCGUGAGCAAUUUGCCCUUUGGAGGGGAAUAACAGCCGGAAACGGUUGCUAAUACCGCAUAAGACACGUUGGAGGCAUCUCCGGGGUGUGAAAGGAGAAAUCCGCCAAAGGAUGAGCUCGCGUCCCAUUAGGUAGUUGGUGAGGUAACGGCCCACCAAGCCGACGAUGGGUAGCCGGACUGAGAGGUUGGCCGGCCACACUGGAACUGAGACACGGUCCAGACUCCUACGGGAGGCAGCAGUGGGGAAUAUUGGGCAAUGGGGGAAACCCUGACCCAGCAACGCCGCGUGAGGGAAGAAGGUUUUCGGAUUGUAAACCUCUGUCCUAUGGGAAGAAGGAGGUGACGGUACCAUAGGAGGAAGCCCCGGCUAACUACGUGCCAGCAGCCGCGGUAAUACGUAGGGGGCGAGCGUUGUCCGGAAUUACUGGGCGUAAAGGGUGCGUAGGCGGCCUUGCAGGUCAGAUGUGAAAUACCCGUGCUUAACAUGGGGGCUGCAUUUGAAACCGUAGGGCUUGAGUGCGGAAGAGGUAAGUGGAAUUCCCGGUGUAGCGGUGAAAUGCGUAGAGAUCGGGAGGAACACCAGUGGCGAAGGCGACUUACUGGGCCGCAACUGACGCUGAGGCACGAAAGCGUGGGGAGCAAACAGG